rnacentral:tRNA from 1 species
CGGGACCGCGAGAAGGGACAGCUCCGGGCGCUGGACGUCCGGGCGGCGCCCUCCCGCGGGUCGCCCGCUCCUGCCCUCGGUCCUCGGGGUCUUCCCUCUUCUUCCCUUCGCUUCGGUGGGGAGUCCCGGAAUCCCCCGGAAUCCGGCGCCUUCUUUGGCAUCCCUUGUGCAGCGCUUUUGGAACUUGGUGAACUUGUUCCCUUGGUUCUGGGGGCGGAAUCCAGGGGGGCGCCACCACUGAGGGACAUCCCAGACCUUUCAAUUUUUUUCUUUUUAUUUUAAGAAGCCUGGCUAAAGUACCCGGCCUGGUCUCGAACUUGCGAUCCUCCUGGAAUUACAGGCGUGCGCCACCGCGCCCCGGGGCGGGGGACUCGUUCUUCAUCUCACCUGCCUCGGUUUCCCUUCCUUGCGCCGUGUGGAGCCUGGAAGAGCUCAUGAUGGGAAGUUCACAGGUACCACCUGCCCGGCUCGGAGUUAGACUCUCUGAAGGUUAAGCACCGUUACUGUCUCAGGCGGAGGUCCAGGAAUGAGUCUGAAGGUUUCUCCACUCUCCUUUCACUCCGGGCACCGACACGCGCGCACACACACACACACACACACACACGUCACAAAAAAUCAGCCCCAUGUUUUGGACCCACCCCUGAAAAUCACACCAAAAAAACAAAAAACUGCCUCUAUUUCCAGCCUCAGUUUCCCCAUCUGGAAGUCGAGGGCUGGUGGGCUGGGAGGCUCUUGGGAGGAAGAGGGAGGAGGCCAGAGGGGUCCCAGCUCCAUCGUGUGUGUUGAAAGGCGUAUUUUAAAAAUUGAAGAAAUUCCAAAGCUGGGUCAGAACGUAUUGUAGCACAUUUAAAAUGUAGUGGGUUGAUGUUAUUUGAACAAACUCAAGCACACAAGGUAACUGAUUUAUGCUGCUGACAAGAGAAUUAGAACACCUUUUUAAGAAAUACGAUUAUUGAGGCUGGGGUUGUGGCUCAGCGAUAGAGCGCACGUCUAGCACAUGUGAGGCCCUGGGUUUGAUCCUCAGCACCACAUAAAAAUAAGUAAAUAAAAAUAAAGGUAUUGUGUCCAACUACUUGUAAAAAAUAAAUAUUUUUAAAAAAUCUUUAAAACAAAAAAGAAAAGAAAUACGAUUUAUUGCAUAAUAGUGUGGUCUGGCCGGGACACUGUGUUUAAAUUUUCUGAUGAGCAUCUCUUUUUAAUCCUUGAGGAGCUUUGGUGGGCGGGCCUCACUGGGUCGAAACUAGAAAUCCUGGGGGGAUUUGAGACCCCCCUCCAAAGGGUCAUCCCACCUUGCAGGCCCUGAGCUUGCUCAGUUAGUCUGGGGUCUCAUUUGCCAGGUCCCUUUUAAUUGCAUGGACUCUCGCGUUCCCCAAGUGAGAUUCUUUGGGUCUGAAGAGGUACAGGAAGGUGUGAAUUUGAACAUGGAAUGGUGGCCACCUGGACAACCCAAAGGGAAAGUCCAGGUGGAGAGAGAGUAGGUGGGCUUCUGCCAUGUGCUGAGUGUCUACUGUGUGCUGGUUACUUUAUAAAUAUUACCUUCAACGUAGCACAAGAGCCCUGCUGCAGAAGUCACCCUGAUUUUAUCCAUGAAGAAACUGAGGCAUCUGCAAAGCCACCUGCCCAAAGGCCCUAUGCGAGUGAACCAGUGUGGACUGGCACCUCGACGACUGCCUAACAACCCGCCACCUGAGCUGCUUACUGUUUGCUGUGUUUCUCCGGAAGUCAACUGUUUAUUUUAAUGUAUUUAUUUAAAAGGAAAUCCGGUAUUGCCAAGGAAACCAGAGCUAUCCAUCAAAAAUAGAAGAGAAACUCACAAAUAGAGACAUUAUCCCAAUAAAAGGGCAUUGGUGAGACCCAGCCGCAUCCUGUCGCCUGAGGUGUGCGAUCUGUGAAAAAGGGACAUCAACGAGGUGUAAAAGCCUCACAGAGGACUCUUCCUCCUGUUGUCAGAGCUAUUGAAGGUCCCUGGGAGGGGAAGGUGCUCUGCUCGGUGACUCAGAGCCACCCAGUGCUCCUGACUCCGUGCCCCUGGGCCUCCUGCUGGUGGGGUGUGUCCUUCACAGGGAAGCACCUGCCCACACACCUGGACGCCUCCCCAGGACCAGGUGAAGGAAGGAGCAGACCCAUUGCCCCUCCCUGUUUCCGAGUGCUCUUGGGAGCCUCCCUGUUCCCCUUAUUUUCUCUUUAAAUAUGUUCCUGUCUCUCCAGUGAGACUGGAGGCAGAGACCUCCGAACAACACCUUGGAUCCCCACUCCGGAUGUUUCGAUAAUAAUAAGCUUGAAACCUCCACAUAGUGGGGGGGAGAUAAAAGUGUGUCGGAUGGGGUUCUCGCCCCCAAACCUCAGCCCCUGUAGGAGCUGAGUGCGUCCCCAUCCUAGUCAGAGCCGCAUGGUGGACAGAGCCCAUCCCCCUCCCCCUUGAUCUUGAACCUGGCCAUGUGACUCAGUUCUGCCACUCGGCCAUGACACACACACACAAAGACGUGGAAGGCACUCAGGCGGUGGGCUGCCCCUUGCACCACUGCCAUUUCCAUGAGCAGAAUGGACAGCUGAUAGCCACUGGUCCCUGGAAAUGAAAGGCACAGACAGCAGAGCUCCACCGGCCUGUGGAAGGCCUGGCCUUGUGGGAAGCCCUGGCCUGCAGAACCUCUGUCUGGGGCACAGAAUUGCUCCUGCCGAGCUACAGACAGGUGAGUGGGAAGCACGUGCUUCUUGCUGUGUGCCCCCGAGGUUUCAUGGCUGUUUGUUACACGGCCAUAGCUGACUGAUAGAAGGGUCACCUUACUUGGAGACAGUGCAUUUGAAGGUGUGG